rnacentral:rRNA from 1 species
AAAUUGAAGAGUUUGAUCAUGGCUCAGAUUGAACGCUGGCGGCAGGCCUAACACAUGCAAGUCGAACGGUAACAGGAAGCAGCUUGCUGCUUCGCUGACGAGUGGCGGACGGGUGAGUAAUGUCUGGGAAACUGCCUGAUGGAGGGGGAUAACUACUGGAAACGGUAGCUAAUACCGCAUAAUGUCGCAAGACCAAAGAGGGGGACCUUCGGGCCUCUUGCCAUCGGAUGUGCCCAGAUGGGAUUAGCUAGUAGGUGGGGUAACGGCUCACCAAGGCGACGAUCCCUAGCUGGUCUGAGAGGAUGACCAGCCACACUGGAACUGAGACACGGUCCAGACUCCUACGGGAGGCAGCAGUGGGGAAUAUUGCACAAUGGGCGCAAGCCUGAUGCAGCCAUGC